GAUGGUCUUUCUCUUCACCUUUGUCCAAAGGAUGGAGAUUCCCAUGAUUAAGAUGAGGAGGUGAAGACAGCGAUAGAUGCUACCCUAAGAGUCAUUCAGGAGAUAGCUAGGACAGAUGGGACCUGACCUAGCCAGACUGACUAUGGUUCUGACAUUUCGGAGCUACUGUAUAUUAAGACAAAGAUGUUUUCUCUGGAGCCUGCUAGCUUUGGGAUCCAUGGCCGAUAUCCG
rnacentral:lncRNA from 1 species